GACCUGUACGGGUGGCGAGGCGAUCGGUUGGUUGCUCCUUGGAGUCGGGUUGCCUGGGAUCGCAGCCCAAAGUUGGUGGUAGACCUCAUCUAAGGCUAAAUAUGGCCACGAAACCGAUAGCAAACAAGUACCGUGAGGGAAAGUUGCAAAGAACUUUGAAGAGAGAGUUCAAGAGGGCGUGAAACCGUUGAGAUUGAAACGGAUAGAGUUGACGGAACUCAGCUGCAUUCAUCCGAUCGGCCUAGUGGCCCGAUAGCGUUCGCAUCCUCGAUGAGGGCAACGUUAUCGGUAACUAUUGGGUAAUUGAUCGGUGUAUUUGCGGCUGGUAUGCGCUGAGAGUUUUGUGAUCGCAUGUUAACGGGUGUGCAGUGGACCAUUCCUUCCGGGCGUGGAACCCUUCACAUUUUUAGACAUGUCGAUUAUAAAGUUUUGAACGUGGCGUCUCCGCUAUUGUGCGUCGGCUUAUGCGUGCUAUCGUGAUUAUUUGAUAUUCGCAUGCGAAUGUCUGUAAUUAACGAUGAUGCGACAAAAGUGUGAGCGCGUUGAGACGUGCAUCUCGG
rnacentral:rRNA from 1 species